rnacentral:rRNA from 1 species
GAUCCUGGGCUCAGGAUGAACGCUAGCUACAGGCUUAACACAUGCAAGUCGAGGGGCAGCAUGAACUUAGCUUGCUAAGUUUGAUGGCGACCGGCGCACGGGUGAGUAACACGUAUCCAACCUGCCGAUGACUCGGGGAUAGCCUUUCGAAAGAAAGAUUAAUACCCGAUGGCAUAGUUCUUCCGCAUGGUAGAACUAUUAAAGAAUUUCGGUCAUCGAUGGGGAUGCGUUCCAUUAGG